rnacentral:rRNA from 1 species
GAGUUUGAUCCUGGCUCAGAACGAACGCUGGCGGCGUGGAUAAGACAUGCAAGUCGAACGAGAAACUUACUUAGCUUGCUUUGAAAGUUUCUAGUGGCGGACGGGUGAGUAACACGUGAGUUACCUGCCCCGAAGUGGGGGAUAGCCUUCCGAAAGGGAGAUUAAUACCCCAUGUGAUCGCAAGAUUAAAGGCGGCCAUCUUUGAUGGCUGUCGCUUCGGGAUGGGCUCGCGGCCUAUCAGCUAGUUGGUGAGGUAACUGCUUACCAAGGCGAUGACGGGUAGCUGGUCUGAGAGGACGACCAGUCACACUGGAACUGAGACACGGUCCAGACACCUACGGGUGGCAGCAGUCGAGAAUCAUUCGCAAUGGGCGAAAGCCUGACGGUGCGACGCCGCGUGGAGGAUGAAGGCCCUAGGGUCGUAAACUCCUGUCAUCAGGGAGUAAUGGCUCACGUAGUAACUGCCGUGAGCAGUGAUAGUACCUGAAGAGGAAGGGACGGCAAACUUCGUGCCAGCAGCCGCGGUAAUACGAAGGUCUCAAGCGUUGUUCGGAUUUACUGGGCGUAAAGCGUCUGUAGGCGGAGUGGUAAGUCAGAUGUGAAAUCCCGGGGCUCAACCCCGGAACUGCAUCCGAUACUGCCACCCUAGAGGGUCGGAGGGGAGUCUGGAAUUCUCGGUGUAGCAGUGAAAUGCGUAGAUAUCGAGAGGA